CUGAAGAUCGCUUUUGCUUGUCUUUCUGACAGAUGUCCCAGAGUUACUGAUUCGAAAGUCUUUCCCAUACUAGAUCUGCCAGUUCCCCAUAGCUCCUGGCCCAGCGCUCAGCAAAACUACGGAACAAAGCGGGGAAAAUGUAAAUAUAGCAGAAAGUAUUUAACCAUAGCAGCUGUGUAUGCCGACAUCCCGAUUAAAGCCAAUUUAAUCGCUGGCUGAUAGAAACAGAACGCAAAAUGAAGAGGGGUAUGAAAAGAAAAGAAAAAAAAAAAAAAAGCAAUAAGAGAAAGGUCAAGAAAAACCACCAUACUUAGAGUACGCUCGUAUUGUGCAAUCGAUUUUCAUAAACUCACAUCUCUCUGGGGGAAGUGGCCUGAGCCAUUUCAGUCUUGUUCAUCUGUGCCCAGAGGAAGAAGCAUUAGAGACACCCUGGAUGCACCUUCUUGAACAGUUGGCCAAACUCAGGGAUAAUCAGCAUUAAGCAUUAGUCUGUGCCGCUCUAGCUCUCCUUGCUGUCAGUCUUAAGGCAGAAGGAAGCUGGAGUCUGAGUGGUACUGCACAAAGCCAAAAGAGCUUCCGCAGCUUGCAGCUCACUCAUGCAGGGUGCAGCGCAGACUUCAGGUGCUCCAGGAAGCCAUCUGCAGCUCUCCAGGCAAUGAAGCCGGGCUGCGAAUGCGGUGCUUUCUGGCUGCUGGAAAGACCACUGAGGAAGUCAUUCUCAAAGCACUUCCUGCAAAAUUGCCUCCAUCCAUCCCAUCUGGUAUGUUCUAGUGACAGAGAGCUGAGUGCAUUGUCUCCACAACUGAAGGAAAGGCUGCCAGUGUGUCCUGCAGAGAGGCACAGAGGUGAGCAGAGCCAUGAGGACUGGUGUUUUCCGAAUGAAGCCCGGCCUCACACCCAUCGCUCCAGAGCAGGCUGUGCCUGGGACACAGAGGGCUCAGGAACAGGUCUGAGCUCUGAGAGGGUGAGCAGGAGUGCUCUCGGGUCUCCCAGGGGAGGAGAAGCUGACCACCAGGGAGCUGCGUUUGAGCAGACCAAUGAAUCCAGUGACACUUGAAGGAACCUCAAAGAUGACCUCCCUUCCAGAGACGCUGAAUGAAAACCUUUAUCAGCCUAUAAAGAAACACUCUCUCUUUGUACUCUGCCUUCAAAUAUUGCUGCACUACCUGGCUCGAAACUCAGAGAAUCUGAAUGAAGGCAUUUUUUUCUCUCACUCAAGCUCUCUCUUUCUCUCACUGUUCAAACUAUCACGCAGAAUUUCUUAAGAGACUUUUCCCCCUCCAUAUAACAGUCUCUUUUUUUAUGUUUCCCAAUUUUAAAUUUAAAAGACUACCUGUACUGGGAAUUGUUCAGUGAUGCUGAUUUAUGAGACUUAUGCAAAAAAAAGGACAGUCUUACCAAUGUAAGUAUCUAUUUGGCAAGGCGGCCGUGAUUUAUAAAAAGGCGGGCUGGUGACACUCGUAUAAAGGUAACUUUCAUGUGGAAAGUAUAAAGGCAAAAGGAAAACCAGUUGAAUGAAAAACUCUUUUGCUAUUUUAAGGCAAGUAUAAUUGCUACUCUAGCUUUAACUCAAAAUCCACCCUGUGGCGAGCGUGCCUCCUGGUUCCUUUGCUUGGUCUCUGAAGCCCAGUGUUAGGUUAAGUUUGCCUGUCUUUUCUAAUCAUUUCUGUGGGCCUGUGAUCCAUGAACUUCUUUAAUAUUCAUUAAAGCUCUUUACAUUUUGUACAUUUUUCCACCUUGAUGACCUAAUGGGGAAAUGAUAUAUGGUAUCAAGCUUCUGAUAUUUUUCCUGGAAGAGCAUAUUCUACAUUUUUAAGGAUGCCUUAUAUGAAAAGUCAACUUAGAAAAAUUAUCCUUUUUACUGUGUUUUGGGCUCAGAUCCAAUUCUCUAGCUUGGAUCACCAUUAGUCUAGCUUUUACACAGAAGCUCUGCAUGCUUUCUCUCAAGGGAGUGGUCAUCUCACAGUGAUGUUGCUGGAGCUUCUGGGCUCUUUCUGGAGCCACAGGGCAGUGUUCCACACACAGGACUAGCCGCAGCUCAUACCAUUCCCUGAGAAAGUCCAGGCUGCCAGGCAGGUUGGUCUCAUAGCAAGCUGCUAGUGGUGAGUCAGAAUGGCCUUUCCCUGAAUGCAGCACAUCAGACUCGGUGCAUGGAUGUACAUGGGUCACCUCAGGGAGUUUAUUCUUGAAUUUUCCUCAGGAAAGUUUAGUUACAGCUGCUAAGCCAGCAGUUCCAGUUAACAACGUUAUUUCUCACUCCUGCCGCACGCUCUCAGUGGUCAGCAGGAGCUGAUGUGCCACUCUCGCCCCUGGGGCUGCGUUAAUGAACUGAAUUCUAGGUGGACCCUGGCCAGUUUUAUGACAGAACCAGAAGGAUUUGUGAUUAACUAUGAAAAUUUCUACUUAGAAGUGACACAUGUCACUCUCCUCAAUUUUCUCCAGCAGAAACAACAUGCUUAGAAAGGGUAAUCGUUUUCUAAGGAGGAGCACUAUUGUGAAGGGAUGUGGAAUAUUUCUAUGACAGAAAACUUCAACUUCUGAAAAGUGAUCCCUCAUAUUGUGUUGAAAACUCAAAAAAAUAAAAAAAGGGUAUAAAAU